rnacentral:rRNA from 1 species
UUGAACGCUGGCGGCAUGCCUUACACAUGCAAGUCGAACGGCAGCACGGGAGCAAUCCUGGUGGCGAGUGGCGAACGGGUGAGUAAUAUAUCGGAACGUGCCCAGUCGUGGGGGAUAACGCAGCGAAAGCUGUGCUAAUACCGCAUACGACCUGAGGGUGGAAGCGGGGGAUCGCAAGACCUCGCGCGACAGGAGCGGCCGAUAUCGGAUUAGCUAGUUGGUGAGGUAAAGGCUCACCAAGGCGACGAUCCGUAGCUGGUAUGAGAGGACGACCAGCCACACUGGAACUGAGACACGGUCCAGACUCCUACGGGAGGCAGCAGUGGGGAAUUUUGGACAAUGGGGGCAACCCUGAUCCAGCCAUUCCGCGUGAGUGAAGAAGGCCUUCGGGUUGUAAAGCUCUUUCAGGAGGGAAGAAACGGUUACGGAUAAUACCUGUGACUAAUGACGGUACCUUCAGAAGAAGCACCGGCUAACUACGU